GGGGAGCGAAAUUUAGUAGCGAAGUAGCUGAUUUCACACUGUCAAGAAAAGUCUCUAUCGAGGUUAAAGGUACCCGUACCGCAAACCGACACAGGUGGGUGAGGAGAGUAUCCUAAGGCCAGCGAGAGCACUGUUGUUAAGGAACUCGGCAAAAUGACCCCGUAACGUAGGGAUAAGGGGUGCCACCAUCAGGUGGCCGCAGAGAAUAGGCCCAAGCGACUGUUUACCAAAAACAUAGGUUUCUGCUAAGUCGCAAGACGAUGUAUAGGAGCUGACGCCUGCCCGGUGCUGGAAGGUUAAGGGGAUCUGUUAGAGCAAUCGAAGCAGUGAACUUAAGCCCCAGUAAACGGCGGCCGUAACUAUAACG
rnacentral:rRNA from 1 species